AUCACUGUGGUAUUCGGACAAGGCACCAAGCUGGUUGUGACAAGCUCCAGCCUCCCUCCUCCUGUCCUGACAGUCUUCCCUCCGUCCAGUGCUGAGCUCCAGUCCAACACAGCUUCUCUGGUCUGUUUGUCCAGUCAGUCUGUGCCUUUUGCAGAUGUGAGCUGGUUGGCUGCUAGGAGUCCAGUGAGCAGUGGGAUCUCUACCAGCACUGCUGUUCAGAGACCAGACCAGACUUACCAAAUCAGCAGCUCUCUGACCAUCCAGACAUCAGACUGGAACAUGGAUAAGGUUUAUACAUGUAAAGUGUCUUUGGGCUCGCAGACUUUACACAAAACUAUCAAGCUGUCAGAAUGUCCCACUGAAUAG